GAGAGACGUACAAUAAGAACUGCUAAUUCUUAUAACUGAAGCUAAAACCUCAGCUCUCCCAC
rnacentral:tRNA from 1 species